rnacentral:misc_RNA from 1 species
UUGAUGAAGUGAGUGACUUGAAACCAUGAACUUUUUCAUCAUCUUCAUCUUCUAGUCUACUAGUGCCACCAGGAUCCAUGUCUAUAGCAAUAGCAACUUGAUCAUUAUUGACUUUACGCAAACUGCGAACUUGAGAAGCAGUGGAGGGCCCAGGCACUGUCCAUUUAUUUAUCACAGGUUCAACUUCCAAAAUUUCAGAGC